CAGCUUUAGCACAUUAAUAUGAAACCCAGGAUCUAACUGACAGAGAGUCACGCAACUUCUGGCCUCUGGAAGACCUGGUGAAAAUGGUUACUCCAGUAACAUGUAAAACGUCACAGUGUGGGAAAUGCAAGGUCAACGUGGCUGCUGCUGUUUUCGCAAAACAGAGAUCUCGGGACUGGUUGUGAAAGAGAAGGUAUGACGUGUGCAACACAGGUUUCUCCCGACAUACUAAUGACUCUAGGAAAAUGAACUGAUUUCCUGGCUUUUGUAGCAACUAUGGAAAUAUUUAAUCUUUUUGAUAUGAGUAAUAGACCACUGAUCAAAAGGUGCCCAGGGCUUCCCUGGUGGCGCAGUGGUUGAGAAUCUGCCUGCCAAUGCAGGGGACACGGGUUCGAGCCCUGGUCUGGGAGGAUCCCACAUGCCGCGGAGCAACUAGGCCCGUGUGCCACAACUACUGAGCCUGCGCGUCUGGAGCCUGUGCUCCGCAACAGGAGAGGCCGCGAUAGUGAGAGGCCCGCGCACCGCGAUGAAGAGUGGCCCCCACUUGCCGCAACUAGAGAAAGCCCUCACACAGAAACGAAG